rnacentral:rRNA from 1 species
CCUACGGGAGGCAGCAGUGGGGAAUAUUGGACAAUGGGCGCAAGCCUGAUCCAGCAAUGCCGCGUGAGUGAUGAAGGCCUUAGGGUUGUAAAGCUCUUUUACCAGGGAUGAUAAUGACAGUACCUGGAGAAUAAGCUCCGGCUAACUCCGUGCCAGCAGCCGCGGUAAUACGGAGGGAGCUAGCGUUGUUCGGAAUUACUGGGCGUAAAGCGUACGUAGGCGGUUAUUCAAGUCAGAGGUGAAAGCCCGGGGCUCAACCCCGGAACUGCCUUUGAAACUAGGUAGCUAGAAUCUUGGAGAGGUCAGUGGAAUUCCGAGUGUAGAGGUGAAAUUCGUAGAUAUUCGGAAGAACACCAGUGGCGAAGGCGACUGACUGGACAAGUAUUGACGCUGAGGUACGAAAGCGUGGGGAGCAAACAGGAUUAGAUACCCUGUAGUCCACGCCGUAAACGAUGAUAACUAGCUGUCCGGUCACUUGGUGACUGGGUGGCGCAGCUAACGCAUUAAGUUAUCCGCCUGGGGAGUACGGUCGCAAGAUUAAAACUCAAAGGAAUUGACGG